rnacentral:piRNA from 1 species
UGGCCCCUUGUAUAAUCUUGCUACCAGGA